rnacentral:misc_RNA from 1 species
AACCAUUCUCACCUGCGGCUAGACCUGCGGAGGGAUCAUUAACGAGUUAGGGUCGUUCUGGCCCGAACUUCCAACCCCUUGUUUAUCACACCAUGUUGCUUUGGUAGGCCCGCUCUCUUAGGGGGGCCGCCGGAGGUUAUCCUACCUCUAGCCCGUGCCUGCCAGUAGCCUUAUUAAAUUCUUUUUAACUGUGUCGUCUGAGUGGUAUUUUCAAAUCAUUUAAAACUUUUAACAAUGGAU